rnacentral:miRNA from 1 species
CACAUACAUAUAUAGACGUGUA